rnacentral:rRNA from 1 species
UACGGAGGGUGCAAGCGUUAAUCGGAAUUACUGGGCGUAAAGCGCACGCAGGCGGUCUGUCAAGUCGGAUGUGAAAUCCCCGGGCUCAACCUGGGAACUGCAUCCGAAACUGGCAGGCUAGAGUCUUGUAGAGGGGGGUAGAAUUCCAGGUGUAGCGGUGAAAUGCGUAGAGAUCUGGAGGAAUACCGGUGGCGAAGGCGGCCCCCUGGACAAAGACUGACGCUCAGGUGCGAAAGCGUGGGGAGCAAACAGGAUUAGAUACCCUGGUAGUCCACGCCGUAAAAGAUGUCGACUUGGAGGUCGUGGCCUUGAGGCGUGGCUGCCGGAGCUAACGCGUUAAGUCGACCGCCUGGGGAAUACGGCCGCAAGGUUAAA